rfam:Bacillus amyloliquefaciens FZB42, complete genome.
GGGCUCUUCAAAAAGAAGAGAAUUCAUAAGAGUGCUACGCUCCCUUUCAAGAAAUUGAAAGGGAGCUUUCUUAUUUU